CGUUUGAGGUUCUAACCCAGGUCCCUUAUCGGGAUCGGGGACAGUGCAUGGUAGGCAGUUUGACUGGGGCGGUCUCCUCCCAAAGUGUAACGGAGGAGUUCGAAGGUACGCUAGGUACGGUCGGAAAUCGUGCUGAUAGUGCAAUGGCAUAAGCGUGCUUGACUGCGAGACUGACAAGUCGAGCAGAUGCGAAAGCAGGACAUAGUGAUCCGGUGGUUCUGUAUGGAAG
rnacentral:rRNA from 1 species